UGUGGUGCAGCCAAGGAUGACUUGCCGGCUAGCUCUAGUAUACUAGUAUGCUUAUAUUUUUCCAUUUAACUGGCAACUAGAUGGUCGGCAAGUCAUCUCUGGCUACCCAACU
rnacentral:pre_miRNA from 1 species